AAGCAGGGUACUAAACCUACUGCAGGAGUAUGGAUAGCGUUGUUGAAUGCUUGCAGUCUCAGUCAAGAUUUUGAAAGAGGCGAGUUUGCCGCAAAGCAUCUUUUGUUGUUGGAUCCCGACAAAGCUAGCAAUAUUGUGCUUGUAUCAAACUUUUAUGCAGCCAUUGGUAGGUGGGAUUGUGUUGAUGAACUGAGAAGCAUAAUGAGGACAAAAGGGUUGGUCAAGGAAGCUGGGAAUAGCUGGAUCGGCGAGGGCUUCAAUGGACAUGCCAGGUCACUAUCUACUUGAUUGUUCAGCUAUACACCUGGAAAGUGAGAGCCUCACUCCUGUUGGGGUGAUUUGAUUUCUAGUAGAGUCAACCUGGAACUGGUUACAUGAAGAAAAGGAAGCAAGUCAACUGGUAAACGUCUGCUUCCCCAUUCCUAUAAAAUUUCUCUCUCAUUUUAUGUUUCACAUUUUAUGUAUCUCUUGAGUUUCGGUAGCAUAUUUUUGGUAUAUAUGGGCUAAGUCAAAUGAAUUUUCCGUAGGAAGAGAUUUUCUCAUGAUGGAUUUUGCUUAUGUUUUUGCUUAUGUACCUCUUUACCAACUCAGCCAUACAAGCAUCCUUGUUAUAUGAACUCAAGCACUAAUACAUAACAUGAAAAUGAACCAAACUCUUAAAUAAAGCACAGUUGAAAAACAGUAGCAGAGCUCAAACAAGUUCAUCUUAACGCACAGAAAUACUGCUUCUUUCCAUUUUCAAUAUCAAAGAUUUAACAGCAAGAUGUUAUCACAAACAAAUAGGCGGCGGUAUUACUCAAUGAAAUCAAAUCGGAACAACAACCACGGUUACUUCAGAAGAAUGCAAAGCAGAAUCGAAACAUAGAAAUAAAGCUCGGAAAGGAAGCUAACCGGUUGCGGCGAGCUCGACCGAUGAAUGCAGACAAGCGUUGCCUUCAAUUCUCUCCUUCUCUUUUCUGAAUGGUAGCCGCCAAUCCUCUCCAAAAACUAGGGUUUUUCAGCUCUUCCCCAAAAUGAACAGUGGCAUCUCUUUUAUAGUCAUAUUGCAAGAGUCUUUUGAAUUGGCCUCUGAGACCAAAGGGGUGUCGAACUUGGAAGUGCUUUUGGUGCUGCCAGUUUGUCUACCCUGUUUUGGUGCUUACUCUGAAAAAGGUAACUUGUACCUUGUACCUUCUCCUGGAAAUAUUUUGAUUCCCUUUUGUUGCUUGUUAAUUUUUACCGCCGGUAAAAAGAUAUUCACGGCUGCGAAUUCACUUGAAUAUGAUAUGUGUUGUUUGAUGCUUGCAGGAAGGAGGUGGGGAAGUAUGAUGAGCUUGGUUUACCCAAAAAUGAUGAGGAUGGCUUACUAGUCCCAAGAAGCCGAAACCAAACAUACCACCAACCUGCAAGUCACCAGAACAAACACAAAUGGUCCUGCUUCCGUAGCUUACCCGCUGCCAUAGCUUUCCUGAUGCCAUAAUGUUCCUGCUGCCAUAACAGUACGACGUCGGCUAGAAUCAAGUGCAGCAGAUCAGCAAAGCAUGGUAGAACCCAACUCCUUAUCAUUGAGUAGCUCUUUGAGAUCACUUCAAGAUGUUUCUAAGACGACCAAUGUUGCAGAAGUCUCAGCUUCAGAACCUCAUGUGCGAUCAACUGAGUUAAGGCAACAUGUUAAUUUUCCAAACUAUUUCCAUCCUUACGAGCGGUAUACUCCUUUGCUAGCAUCAACAAUGUAUGCAGCGGUUCUUGGUUCCACAUGGAAACUUAUCACUGCAUGUUAGAGCCACGUCCAUUGCAAUCAUCCAUUUCUCUUGGACUCACGGUGAUGAAUGAAUCAGGAUCCAAAUUACAACGUUGUAUAAAAGCAUCAACGGUGGCUGAAUCUUGACCAUAAUUGCUGUUGUAAUUAUUGGCGUUGUCUAUUGUUGUGUCGGGCUCGUUCGAGGCACCUUUUGAAGGCCAUCCUGAUUCUGUUACCACUAUGGCAGUGAUAUUGGUGGCCGGAAACUUUUUAUGAAGUGAACUUUGAUUGUUUAGAAGUUUCCACAGGUGAAGGGGAAAACAAGCCUGAUACAAAGGGCAUUUGGAAGCAUUAAGAAGUGCCUGGUGUUCCGCAACAACAUAAUCUUUGUACUUGGCAAGGAAAAACUCGGUUUAAUAAAUGACAUCACAAGCAUAAUGGCGUACUGUGAAGUGACUAGGUGAUAAUUUGGGCUUGUUAAAUCUCAAAAUGUAAAUUUGUAACAGUGAAAACAUUGGUCUACAUAGUUCAUGACAUCAUUUCCCUUUGUUUUUACAAUUCCAAAAUAACAUACAGAGCUCAACUUUCCUUUGCAGACCAGCUGUGACAGCAAACUUUUCGCCAAAAUCAACUUCACACUUUUGCACCAAAGAAGGACUUUACACCUGCUGGAGAGUUUCCUGGUUUAGCAGUUGUUGUACCUCCGAAAUGGAGCCUUGCUUUCUUAUUACAGUAUAAUUAAGUGCGUCAUAAAAAAUAAAAAAAAUAAAAAAAGCCUCUAAGUGCUGGCACAAUUGGAGAAACAUCGACGUCCGGUGAAAGGAAAUCAAGAACAUCGUAGUCACGAGCCAUAGCUUCGUAAUCUCGGUUAACCAAGUGAACAACAUGACCAAUUAUAGCAGAUCGCGCAUCUUCCGGUGUCUCACUCAUCAUUCCGAAGUCGAGAAAAGCAAGUCUCCCAUCAGGCGUUGCUAAAAGGUUCCCAGGAUGUGGAUCUGCAUGGAAAUAUCCNUGAGCCCACUGCUGUUAUUCUCGAACUUAGAAAACGCUUUCAGCUUGACCACCUUUCUUGCAGCAUCGGCAGUGGAAAAAUCCAGAGAUAAAUCCUGAACUUCAGAAAGCUUUCCUUCAUUGAGAACUUUGAAAAGAGCGAAACCCGCCGGCGUUUCAAAUUGUACCAGCAUUUUAACAGAUUUUGAACAAACCUUUGUUGAGACUGGUUUUGCGGUGUGCGGAGAAAAUGAAACACGACGAGCCUUGCUGUACACAGUAAAGGCAGUCUCUUUUAAAAUAACAAACUCACUCACUGAUGGACUUGUGACUCUGAAAAGGGCAUCGACUGUAACUAUCUGCAAGACCAAUUUAGGAAUACUAAACCCAGAAAGCACAGGGAUAUUAGACCCUGAAGCUUCAUCAACAGUUGCCAAGCCACUCAAUGCCUUUACAACCUGAUUGUGCAAGCUAGAUCUUCUCUCUCUAUCUGACUGUUGGAUAACUGAUCCAAUGGCCACAGAUGAUUCAAUAACAGUUUGUAAAAUUGCAGAUGGAUCCGGAAAUGGGCACACCACAUAGAUUACCAAACAGGAAUUGCUGUUGUGACUGUCCAAUCACUGCAUUGGCUUUUGCUUCAUCUAUGAUAGCAUUAUUAUCAACAUUUAAUCCGACAAGUACUUCUGCUGCAUAGUAUGAGGUAUACUUGCAGCCUGAUAUCCUUGCCGUGCGGCAUCAGGAAGACUUUGAAUUACCACUGGAUUCUGUUUCAUGGGUGAGAAAAUUAAGGUUUGAUGGAAGAUUUGUUCCGUUAAAUGCAGCAAAUGAUACUGCAAAUGCUCGAGAUGGUAUAACCUCAACUCCCCAUUUAGAGCCUGUUGCUGCUUACUGUUUCCGCCAACAAUAUCAGAUGUUGCACAUGGCUGCUUUGCUUGUUAUCAUUACAAGAAGAAGCAGGAUCCUGGAGACAAUUGCAAAAUGCAUCUUCAUCCUUAGGAUAUGAUGUUGGUAGAGGAUGGUCAGGAAUGACACCAACCUUGUUGAUAUCCGUGUGUGCAGGUGUCUUGUUGGAACCGUACCAACAUUUAGAUUAACAGACCUACUUCCAAAUAGUACAGACGGAUGAACUCCAGUUGAAUAGUGUGCAUAAGGCAAAUCAGUUCCAAUUUCAAUCACCCUUUGAGUGUAAGCCUUUAUCCUGUUUUUGUGCUUCUUCUGAACUGACUUCAAUGAUCUUCUACUUUCAUAGGUACCAGGCAAAUAAUAAGUGCUGGUUUCUCCUUCAUCUUCAUCAUAUGCAACAUCUUCACACCCAAACUCUGCUCCAGUAUCAUAUAUGGAUGUUUCAACUUCUUCUUGAAUGCUACUACCAGUUUUCCCACACGGUAGAAAAUGAGAUUCAAUGGAUUUUCUGUAAGUUUCCAUGGCAGUGUGAGGAACUCUUGGACAUGAAUGAAAUGAUUGUAACAUGAAUGAAUAUGUGUAUGGAUGAACGGAAAUAAAGACCCAACAAGGAAGACUUAAAAAAGUAAGACUUCGCCGGGGAAAAGCAAUCAUCAACAGGGAAAAAUCCUAACUCCAGUAGGAGAAGAAUAUUACCUACUAUUAGUCGAGUGAUAACUUAAUAAAGAUAAUAAGCUCAAACAGAAUGAUUACUAACUACCAGCCAAGUGAUAUCUUAACAAAGGUAAUCAAUCAGAGAGUAAAAGGAACUAUUACCUAUUAUCAGUCAGGUGAUAGCUUAAUAAAGAUAAUAAGCUCAAACAAAAUGAUUACCAACUACCAACCAAUUGAUAGUUUAACAAAGAUAACCAAUCAGAGGUUAAAAUGAAUUAUUACCUACUAUCAGACAAGUAAUGACUUAACAAAGAUAAUAAACUCAAACAAAAUGAUUACCAACUCCCUACAAACUACUCUAAUUGUGUGUGUAAUUUAAUUAAGGGUUUCUAGAACCUUAUAUUUUUAUUACAAUAAAAUGAAAAUUAGAAAACAUCAAAAUGGGGAAUGUGUCACGCUCUCUUCUCGUGCCAUGACUACAAGCACAAGUUUUGACUNUGUGAGAAUUUAUAAAGAAGUCGUUGAAUGAUUCAGAGAAGAAGCGCCUUUACCAUCGUUUACUGCCCCAACGCAAGGAAAAAACUUUAUCAGAAAUAAAUGGGAAACCCCCCUUUCAGGCGGUGUCAAAAAUAAUCAGGUCACUCCAAAAAAUUCCUUGUAUGAUAGUUCUCAAACCCGUGAAAGCGUUAUCUCCUGAAACUAUCAGACGAGCUGCAUAUUCUUCGUGACCCAAACGCAUAGUUCGUAAACCCUCCCACGAAAAACAAAACGCAAAACAACCUUAAACCCCACAAACAGGGUUUUUAUAUAAUUCCUUGGGCAAGACCGGCUGAAUCUAACCCUAUCUUCGUAAGUCUCUAUAAACCCUGUCCUCACCUGUUUCACCCCAUCCUUGAAAAGAUGAUGACGAAAGAUUGUUUUCAUUUUUGAUUGGAUGAGUUCGGCGGUUUCCACCGUGCAUAUUCGUCUGAAGUUGUUAAUAUGUUCAGAAACUUUUUGAAAGGACAACUCUGCGAAGAAGAAAACCCGUUAGGUGCAAAAUAAGAGUAAUUUCUUUGUUGGGUGGAAGUAAGGAACCUUGGGAGAGAGCGAUAGGAGACUAGGAUUUUGUGAGUCUGCUGUCCGUUAUAAUCACCGUUCAUACCAUCCAAAUUAUAGCCGACAUUUCCAUUGGGAUUUUGGAGUUCUGCUGGCAAGAAUACCGGGGUAUGUCGGUGAUUGUUUUGAGAACCGAGAAUUAUGGUUUCAAGAACUGUCUUGAAUUGUAGGAAAGUGUUUCUGAGUCGACAAGUUCACUGCCGCCCAAGGAACAAAACCCGUCAAAGUGGCCGACUCAACAGUCUCAACAUGUCCUGCCGUUAGUGUAAAAUUUCUGAUUAAUGUUUGGUCUUGGGCUCUGUUGUAUUGUAUCUGUGGGAGAGAAAAGGGUAGAUGUGUUGUUUGUAGUUGCUGUAAUGGUCUCUGUAAUCGUGCAACCCACGUCGUGUCCCACAUCCCACCAAGACGGAUCCUCCAUUCUUAGCUCAUUGGCCCCUGAGUGUUCGCUCGGGUGUAUUGUGAUAGUGUCAGUCAACUCCUACGUUCGCCGAGACUGCAAUCCCUUCUUCCGCAUGAAGCCUGCUGUCCGCUCUCUCCGUUCGUUUACGUUCCUGACAUCUCGAUGCUCACACUAAUUCACCACACCUCUUACGGCCAUUCUUCUCACACACCACUCCGGAUAAAAACAAUUCCACGCACAUAUAUUGAUCUUUGAACUCGGUGUAGAUUCCAGAACUUUUCCUCAAAAAACCCACGUCCUUUGAUUUCUCUCUUCAAGGCACGACUCAUCUGGAUGAUUCCACUAAGGUGUUUGACGAUAUGCGUUCACAGGGAAUGUUAGUAUGCAUUUCGUGAAUGCUCUUGUUGUCGUGCUUUUUUCGUCGAUGUCGGGCAAAACCUCGCGAGGCUAGUGUCCGGUGUUCUCCAUAGGAAAUGGGGAGAGAGAUGUUGAGCUUAGUGAGUUUACAUUUUGUUUCUGGAUAUUUACCGUUGAACCGUCGCUGUUCUCCUCUUGGUGAAGGCAUUGGAACUGGCGUAGACAGCGUCUCAUGAAUGGCUUUGGUUUCAGUUGGCGCGUGAUUUUGGUUUGUGUUUUGAGUACUGCUCUCUCACUUGAUUUUAUGGUACUGGUUAGGAGGAUGCUAGUUAGAUCAGCUUUGAAUGUGUUUUAUAGUGAAUGGUUGGAAGAUGAGAUAUGAUGCAUAAAUUCGUUAGGUUUUCUGGGUAUGCUCAUUGAGCACGAUUGGGAGAUAUGGGGAGGCGUUUUUAAAGUCAUAGUGGAGGUUUGCUGUGAAGCCCCAAUAGUUGUGCAAUUUCACUAGUGUUCGGGUUAGUUGCUCUGAGAAAUUGAAUUUGCAGUUACUAGGGAAAACAAGUGCAUUGUUAUAGUUAUGCGGUUCGUAGGGUUUUACUUUAUAGCCCAAUUAUGUAAUGUACUGUUGACAUGAUGAUGCAAAAAUGUGGGAAGAUGUUGGCACUGGCUUUUUUCCGUUCUCUAGUUUGGUUUGUGGAUGUGUGAAUUUCGUUCGAGGUAUAUGAUGUGAGUUUUGCAGUGGACUUUUUGUUAUUGGUGAUUGAAUUGCAUAUGGAAGAAAUGGGUGUGGAAUGGAAGCUAUCGAGCUCUUUAGGUAUGAGGAGGAUGGGAAGUGAAGCGUGUUGCGAUUUCUGGUGACGUUGUUUAUCUGUUUUUGAUGAGCUUGUGACAUUCUGGGAGGUGGAGGAAGGGAAAAAAUGUUUUCAAUAUGAUGAAGAGAGAAAAUUAUGGCAUUGACCCAGAACCGCGAACACUAUGCAUGACUUCAUAGAUGUCUUAGGCCAAGCGGUAAUAUAAAAGAGGAGUGAUUGGUCUAGCUUAUUCUAGAAAAUUGAUAAGGCAGAGCGCUAUUAAACCUAGUGCAGAGGGAGUAUGUGAUAGCGUUGGUCUGAAUGCUUGCAGUCUCAGUCAAAGAUUUUGAAAGAGGCGAGUUUGCCCAAAGGCUGCUUUUGUUGUUGGAUCCCGACAGAAAGGCGUAGCAAUAUUUGUGUGUUGUAUCAAACUUUUAUGCAGCAUUUGGUAGGUGGGAUUUAGUUUUGUGAUGAACUGUAUGAUAGCAUAACUGAGCGACUCUUCGAAGGUCGUUUGGAAUUUCCAAGGGAAUGACAUGAAUAGGGACUGAAGAAUUCGCGAACAUCUGUAUGGAAGGUGUUGUUCUCAUAUGACAUGGUCUAGGGCGCCUCCACUCUAACUUUGAUUGUUCAGACCCUAUCCUCUGGAAUAGUGAAAGCCUCACUCUGUUGGUUGGUGAUUUUUGAUCCUUCUAGUAGAUGUCUACACCUGAACUGCGUUCCAUGAAAUUUAAAGGAAGCAAGUCAACUUGGUUAACGCAUCUAGCUUCCGCCAUUCCUAUAAAAAUGUGGUUUUUCCCUUCUGUGUUCUCCCCCACAAACAGAGUUUCAUACAUUUUGGAUGAGUUGUUUCCUUGCUUAUUCUGUCAUUUUAUGUUUCAGUCACCUUUAUCCGUGAUCUCUUGUAGUUUCGGUAGCAUAUUUUUUUGGUACUCAUCAUGGGCUAAGAUACAAAUGAAUUUUUCCGCCUAGAAUGAGAUUUUCUCAUGAUGGGAUUUAUGCUUAUGUCUUAUUUUGUUUCUGGUUCCAAAAGUAGAGAGGCUUAAAUACUCCAUAUAGUAAUUUUAUUCAUCUCCAACUUCUAAGCUGUAAUCUCUUCUGAGUUUCACUUAGCUUAACAUUUGAGUGUGCAUGUUUGUGGUUGAGAAGGAUUAUUCCAUUGGGCUGACAACUGCUUAGAGACGCUGCUACAUUGUUUAUUCUGCACUCGGCCCCCUAUCCAUGACCAUGAACCAUGACCAGUUAGACGCAUGACCAAUCUAUUCACCAUCCUCUUUUGAAUAAUUAGUCUAAUGUAGCACCGUGGUCUCUUGCGAGAGGUAAUGUUCAACUGCUAACCUAAACAUUAUUAAAGCCUUAAUCUUCCCUUUUAUUUGACUUGGCCUGGCCGGCAUUAGGGUUGUAGUUCAUUCAUUAUAAGAUUGUUGUUGAGUAUAUACACCAAGACCAGCUAAGGUAGGGAUAAUUUAAUAUGCUUGGACCAAUAAGGCAAACAAACCACCCCCAAGUUUUGCCUGGAAAACAUAAUCACACUUUGAUUUUCUCUCUUGUUUCCUCGUAUAUAUUUUAGUUAAUUUAAUAGUUCCGCAACCCGGUGUGCCCCUUCAUUAACCUGAUGACACUCCCAUCUGCAUCUCAUCCUCCUACAUGGCAUGAUAUGACAAUGAUGGAUGAUUUUUAGAAGUAGUUUAGAAGGACGCACAUUCGAUUUUAGUUCGUAUUUUCUCCUGUAGGUGCAGGAAAGUUGCAAAAAAUUUGAUGCUUAAAGUCAAAACCAAUUUGUUAAGGUUAGCAGAAGCACGGAGAAAAGAUGAAUUUGCUUCUAAGUCGUUCAGUUCUUCACUUAUACAGUGAUUUCUUAUAGAUUUUCUAUGCCUGUGCACUUUUGAGUUCAAGAAUCUAAGUUUACAACUUCAGCGGCUUGGCACCCAUAAUCAAUGUCUAAGCACCCGAAAAAUGACUCUCUCACGAGUCAUGAGACACCAGAGUUCCAGUGAAAUUUGUACCUUCAAAAAGUAAAAGGGUUUUGAGAUUAAAAAUGUGAGUCCCGUGUGAAAUGUAAACGGGAGGGAAUCACAAUCCCAAGACACUCAGACCUGCGAGUGUUACUAGGAUUUCUUUUCUCCUAUGGAUUGUAUGUAUCUAACACCCAAAAAAUCAAUGCAUGGGCAUCCAGAAAUUUGUAAUUAUGAAACUAAAGGUAGUACGAGUUUUUUUAGGAAGUAUAUGGAAAGUAAAGGAGAAAAACUCUCUUUGAAUUAUAGCCUUUAUUUACUAUCUUUCAUGGGUUAUAAAAGCCAUAACAUCAUUGUAAAAACAACAUUUUGAGAAGAAAAAUCCAAAAGAGAUUAGCCACCAUUUACUUUUGGUGAGAUUGUAAUAACAACAUUUGGAUUCUCAUUCAUUUUUAUAAAGUUAUUAUUGUUACUCCAUUGUUACUAUUAUUAUUAUAGUGGGAAAAGUAGGAUCUUGGGAUAAUCAUCCGCUGACCUUGUAUUAGGCAUUUUAAGUGUUAUUUUUCCCAACAAGUGGUAUCAGAGUUUCGGCUCACCAUACAUUUUAACUUCUAUUAUUAACAAUGGACGAGUCAACCUCGACGGGAUCAGCGACGAUGAUUAAGUUAACCUCUUCGAAUUACUCCAUUUGGAAGCCAAGAAUGAAAGACAUACUUUAUUGCAAGGAUUUGUAUCAACCGUUGCAAGACAUACUUUUUUGACAAUGGAUAGAUUAAAGUGUCUUCCAUCAUGUUGCACAAGAAACAGUUGCGUACACAUUAUGGACGAAACUAGAAACAUUGUACGAGAGAAAGACAACCCAGAAUAAAGCCUCUACUAUUCGGCGAUUGGUGAAUCUCAAGUAUAAAGAAACCCGAAGUGUUUCCGAACACUUGAGCAUAUUUUGAAGAUUGAUAAAUCAACUCACCAAUAUAAAGAUGGUUCUUGAAGACGAAUUCCAAACUUUGUUAUUAUUAAGUUCUUUGCUAGACAAUUGGGAUACACUUGUGGUUUCAUUGAGUAACUCGGAACCACAAGGUGUUCUAACAUUGGACAAAGUAAGAGAUAGCAUGUUCAAUGAAGAAUCUUGAUGGAAUCAGAAUCUGAGGCGCUUGUCACAGAGUAUCGUGGAAGAAGUAUCUACAGAAAGUUCAAUAAUAGAGACAAGUCAAGAGGCAAGUCUAGAGAUAAGUUCAAUGGAAAAUCGUGGGCAAGAAAAGACGUUGAAUGUUUUUACUGUCACGAGAAAGGUCACAUAAAGAGAGAAUGUAGGAAGCUCAAAAGAGAGCAACAAGAAAAUGGUGAUGCGAGUAACAUAGCCACUAGCAUUUUUCAAGGCAAUGAAGUAAUCUUUGUUUGUGAUGAUGGUCAUGUUAAUUUGACAUCACAAGAAACAUGUUGGGUAGUGGAUUCCGAUGCAUCAUUUCAUGUAACAUCACGAAGGGAUUUCUUUUUAUCUUAUACAAUAGGUGAUUUUGGUCAUGUGAGGAUGAGCAAUGAUAAUACAUCCAAAAUUACGUGGAAAGGAGAUAUUUGUCUUGAAACAAACACUGAUUGUUACUUAACAUUGAAAGAUGUGAGACAUGUUCCUGACAUGCGUCUCAAUCUAAUAUCCACCGGACUACUAGACGAAGAAGGCCAUACUAGUGUGUUUGGGGUCAGGAAGUGGAAGCUAAUAAAAAUUUCCUUGGUAAUUGUAAGACCCCAAUUUUUGCCCUAAGAUCCCUCAUGGCCCAUAUCAUAUCAUAUCAUGGCCUCAAGGAUCAUUGCAUACCCUAGCUUCCCUCCUAGUGGGUGGGAUACCUUGUGAGUGUGAUUCUUGAUCACCAAGCAUGUAUUGCAUUUGUAUAUCAUUGCUUUUCAUAUGUUUACUAACCAAAAGUACAAAAAUAUUUGCUUCCCUCCUAGUGGGUGGGAUACCUUGUGAGUGUGAUUCUUGAUCACCAAGCAUGUAUUGCAUUUGUAUAUCAUUGCUUUUCAUAUGUUUACUAACCAAAAGUACAAAAAUAUUGUCAUCUAACCUUGUUGUUUGCAGAUGAAGCUAGCUAGGUCAAAUCAGUCAAAGCAAGUCAUUGAGCUAGAUGGUGACCAUUCUUGAAGAAUUUGGGCACCAUGAUCAUUCAUCAAGAGUUCAUAUGACUUAUGAUAUCAUUUGGAAUCAAGAUCUCAAUUGAAAGAGGCUUGGAAAUUCAUCAGAACAUGGCUCAGUCAACCAAAACCCUAGCAAAGUCAACUGUGGUCAACUGUACAUUUAAUCAGGGAUUGGAGGGUGUGAGAUGGUUAGAAAGACCUCAUUCAUGUCCAUACAAGUCUCAUUUGACAUUUCAAAGAUCAAGGUUGAAGGAUUUGAGGUCAGACAAAAAGUUUCCAAAAAUGGAAAUGACCUGUAAUUUUCACCUGCCAAAAAUGAAAAGUUUUGCUCCUCAAAAUUACAUCAUGAACCAAGCUUCAAAUCAAAAUUUGUCCAACAUGAAAGUUGAAGAUCUUGUUCUUGCCUUUCCAAAAAGUCCAAGAACACUCAUUUCCCAUUUAUGGUUGGCAAGAUAUGGUCAAAUCAUUUUCAGAAAAUGCCUAAAUUCAAAGUGGCAUAACUUUCACAUGGAAUGGCCAAAUUGGAUGGUUCUUCUUUGAGCAAACCACAUUUGAUAUGUACUUUCAUAAUCCAUCAUCACAUUUUGCCAAAAGCCUUCACAUAAAAAGGUCAUUUUUCAAGUGUACUAAUUAAAAACCAAGGGCAAAAUGGUCCAACUUUCAAAUUACAUGGAAUUUUGACAUGGGACUUUUUCCAACACAUCACAAAUGGUAUUUGGAACUUGCUUGAACCAAGUUUGGACUGAAAAAUUGGCUGCAUAAGAGAAAGGGCAAAAAUGCCAAAUUGCUUACAAGUGCACAUUUUGCUAAUUAUCCAAAAUUGCUAAUCAUGAUUAUGAGCUGGAUUAGUGUGAAGUAUAUAAGCUUAAUUAUAACAGAAACUCAGGGCAUAAUCACUUUUUCAGAUUCAUCACAAAAAACUCUCUAAUUCUCUCACUUUUCUCAAAUUUUUCACAAACUUUUUUUCAUCAAUUCAUCAAGAAUCCAUCAAUCUUUGUGCAAUUUUUUGCUGUAUUCAUCAUUUGCAGGUGCUUUUGGAGUUCUGUUUGUGGUAAUCGGAAGAGAAAACCGUGCAAAUACCAACUGUUGUAAAGCUUGUUCAUCAAUGGCAGCUGGAAGAAUCGUCAUGAUCGUGCACUCUUGAGCUUGCCAAUCACCACCAGCCACCUCCUACAGCAUAUUACAUCAUCUGUUUCACACAAAUCGGAGCUGAAUCGCGUGAAAUCCAACCGUUACCAUCACUAAGGUCAAAUCUCGAUUCUCACCAUACUUAAAAUCGCGAUAUGGCUUUUGUAGAGCGUACAACGUAGAGUAGAUUGCAAUUCGAAUCGAGCAUUUUCAUCGAGUAUUCAUGGAGAAAUCUUGAAUUAAAGAUUGCAUGUCAAAACUUCUUUCGAUCGGUUCUUUAUGUGUGUUAACUUAUAGACAAAAGCGUUGCCAUAUCUGUAACCUACGUUGAGAGACGGAGAGAAUGGUAUAGAGUUUGCGCGAUUUGGUGAAGAAAUGCUCGUGACGGAAGCUGGUGUUGAUGAAGACGAAGAACACGCGAAGUUCUUCAAGAAAUCUGGAAAUUCACCGUGUUCAAUCCGCUUCUUGGCCUGGCAGUUUUCAAAACCUGUUUCCCGCCGGUUUCGCCCAAUAGAAUAGUGACAGCAAAUAAAUGAAGCUGUGUCGUUUUGGCACAGGCGUGGGUUAAUUACGGUUGUGCCAUCCAAUUAAUUUAAAUCAUAUUACACAUUAAAUAAACAUUUCAAUAAUUAACAAAUCUUCAAAAAAUCAUAUUAAAUUCAUCCUUAAUCCAAAUUAAUUGGGACUUUUUUUGUUGGAUUCCAAAUUUCCUCUAGAAUUUUUUAGGCAUAGAAACUUAAGUUGUGCCUGGUAAAAUUUUGGAUUGGCUUAUUGAUUUUUGUCAUGUGUGCAUUAUACAUAUGUUUCACCAUUUUAAUCACCAAAUAAUCAUGCUAGCUCCAAAUUUAAUGAAAUUUCAUAUGAUGAUUCUUGACUCAUGCCUGGAGAUUUUGAUGUGUAAUUUGUGAUUUUUGGAUCCCUGGUUUGAUAGAUAUGAUAUAAUCUUUUUGAGUGUGACAAUAUGUGUCACACUAUGCUAUGUUGUGUUCAUGAUUUAAUUUUCCAUGCUUAUGCCUUGCCUAUGGCUCUGAUUUUUUUGCAUGAGAUGACUUGUAUAUGUUAGGUUACACCCUGAUUUUUUGUGGAUUUAAUUGAUCCAUUUUCUAUUUGAUUUGCAUUUUUGAUUGCUGUUUAGCAUUUUUGGAUUGUUUCUUGAGUAGCAAACUUACAUGUCUUGUAAAAUACUCAUCCCUUAUCAUAUGAAUGUGAAAUUUGGUGGAGUGUUUCCUAAUAUGUAUAGCUUUAAUUUGGAUUUGGUCCCACUCAUUUCUAAUUUGAUCUCACUGUUUUACAAUUGAUUGAAGUUGACAUUUGUUUUGUGACCUAGUUUAGGUUGAUUUUUGCAUGCCAUGACGUGUUGAAUUUAAUUUCCCUACUUCCACUAGUCCAAAUUGCAUGAAAAUUGACAUGUAGCUCAUUGAAUAUGUUCUGUUUAGAAUAGAAUUUUUGUGGAAUUUAUUGAGCUGUUUUGAUAUUUGUUUGGAUGUGAUCAUUCUGUUUACUCAUUUGUGGUUCAUACUUGCUUACUUUGAGUUAAAUUGUGCAUAAAAUGAAAUGAGUGCAUAGUUUGGAUGUGAGACCAAUUGGUCCUUCUUCUUAAUUGAAUUAUCUUGACUUUGAUCAUGUUUCACUUGCUGUUUUAACAUUUUUCCAUCCUUUGGACCCUAGACUUGUCCUAGUGGUCUUGUUACUCAUGUUUGAGUUUGACUUUGACUUUUCAGGUUAAGAAGCAAAGUGCUUAAAAGGAAUUAAUGCAAGUUGAAUUGUUUCAUUUGACUAUUGUGGACUAACUUGUUUCUGUUGUAGGGUGCUUGGUUCACUUGAGCCUUGUGCUAUGCACAUUAUUGUUUGAUUGUACAUUGUCUGCUGAUUCUUAUGUUGUUGUUUUGUUUAUAUUGGGAUGCUGAUUAUAUUUGAUUGAUUUCAGGUACCCUUUAGUUGCUCAGUUCUUUUGAGAAUUUGCAUUGCUUUGCUUGUAUAGCAUUUGCAUUGAGGUAGACUCUCUUGUCUCCAUGUAGUCUAGAAGACCUGGCUUGUUAUUUAGCCAGGCAACUGUCUGAAGUCCUCCUUAAGAGGCGAUGUUUGUGAUUGUUUAUGUUUGUCCCCAAGCAGGUAAAGUCCUUUUAAAGGCAAUUGGUGGAUAUAAGAGNUUGUGCAUUUACCAUCCUUGAUUUGCCAUUGGUGCAUGAUCAUUUCAUUUGUCCUUGUGACAUUGAUGUUUUCCCAUUGAGGACAAUUGUAAGUCCAUAUUGAUUGGCUUUUGUUCCUAUGACAUGGAAGGGAUAGAGUGUAAGACCACCUCAUCGGUCGCUCAUAUCCUCUUUGCUCUUUGAUUGAGCUUGUUGUUGUAUGUGAGGAUUCAUUGUAAGUCCACGUAAUUUGGCAUUUGUUUUCCUAUGAUCAUAUGUGGAGGUUAACCUAAGUCCAGAUAGAUUGGCAGUUGACUUCCAUGUUUUGUUUUUGUUUUGCCUUUGUGAGAUUGGAGUAAGACCAUUUAUUGGCAUCCGGUAUCAUUGCUUUAUUUUAGGAGAUUGGUGUAAAUCCAUUUAUUGGUAUCUGGUAUCCGCCUUUGUGUGAGAUUGGAAUAAGACCAUUGAGUGGCAUCCGGUAUCACUUUGUCUUUUAAUUACUAACUUGCUUUGUCCCUCAUUCCAAAGGACACACUUGAAUCAUCUUCUAUAUGAUUUCAAGAGGUGAACCUCUAGGAAGUUUUACACUCCACCAUCCACCCAUUUUUGUUACAAAUCCUUUUUCACAUUGUUGACUUUUCAAACCUGUAUAUACAUGUUGUGCAAACAUUCUCACCUCUUUCCAAAUUAGAAACUUGGACCUUAAGUCCAUGAUUUUCCAAACUUCAUUUUUUGUAAAUACUUCAUUUUGAAUUGACUUUAAUCAUACUUUGACCAUAUUUUGUAAAUAAUCCAAAUCAAUUAACUUCACCCAUUCAAAUGAUUUUGUGGCUUUGUCCAUGUUUGUUAAGUUUUCAUACAUUAGCCAUAGGUUUGAUUUAUCCUAGUUGGUUGAUGUUAACCUCACCUAUUUGUCCUUAGUUGAUUGAAUUGUAAGUCUUCCUUGCUUAUUAUAGGGUUAACCCCUCUCUAGCAAGUUGAAGCUUUUCUCACAUGGUGGACGUGUUGUUUCAUAAGGUUGAGUUUUCUCCCGUGGAUAACGUAAAACCUUAGUGCUAUUGUUUUAAAAUAAACUCACAAAUGUUUGGAAAUCUUUUAGCCGAACUACGGCGUUUUGAUCCUUACCUUUGAUGGAAGGUACGUAGGCAACGGGUUCAUCCGUUCGAACACAAAAAUAAUUAACUUGUACAUUCUUUUCUCAUCAUCCCANNNNNNNNNNNNNNNNNNNNNNNNNNNNNNNNNNNNNNNNNNNNNNNNNNNNNNNNNNNNNNNNNNNNNNNNNNNNNNNNNNNNNNNNNNNNNNNNNNNNNNNNNNNNNNNNNNNNNNNNNNNNNNNNNNNNNNNNNNNNNNNNNNNNNNNNNNNNNNNNNNNNNNNNNNNNNNNNNNNNNNNNNNNNNNNNNNNNNNNNNNNNNNNNNNNNNNNNNNNNNNNNNNNNNNNNNNNNNNNNNNNNNNNNNNNNNNNNNNNNNNNNNNNNNNNNNNNNNNNNNNNNNNNNNNNNNNNNNNNNNNNNNNNNNNNNNNNNNNNNNNNNNNNNNNNNNNNNNNNNNNNNNNNNNNNNNNNNNUUAACCUCACCUAUUUGUCCUUAGUUGAUUGAAUUGUAAGUCUUCCUUGCUUAUUAUAGGGUUAACCCCUCUCUAGCAAGUUGAAGCUUUUCUCACAUGGUGGACGUGUUGUUUCAUAAGGUUGAGUUUUCUCCCGUGGAUAACGUAAAACCUUAGUGCUAUUGUUUUAAAAUAAACUCACAAAUGUUUGGAAAUCUUUUAGCCGAACUACGGCGUUUUGAUCCUUACCUUUGAUGGAAGGUACGUAGGCAACGGGUUCAUCCGUUCGAACACAAAAAUAAUUAACUUGUACAUUCUUUUCUCAUCAUCCCACUCGUGUUUGCACAAUAUGUCAAAAAACAAAUAAAUAUUUUUAUACAACAAGUGUGAAAAGGGCUCCCUAGGAGUACCUAGGACGUGAUGGGUGCCUAACACCUUCCCAUUGCGUAAUUUACCCCUUACCCAGACUCUCUGAUCUUUUCCAUUAGUUUUCUACGUGUAAAACUUCUUAGGUUUUUGUUCGCUUUUUAACCAGUCCUUAGGAUAAAUAAAAGUGCGGUGGCGACUCGAUUCAUUGUAUGCUUUGCUUAUGGUUUAACCAAUAAAUCAUAUAGCGACGAAUACACCGCUACAGUAAUAGUCCGAGGCAAGGAAAUGAGCACUCUUUAUGUGAUAGAGGCUAAAGUCAAUAAUGAGUGCAUUAACGCUCUCGGAGAAGACUCCUCAUCCGAACUAUGGCAUAAACGGCUCAGACAUAUGAGUGAGAAAGGACUUCAAAUUCUAGCUAAAAGAGGUAUUUUGGCAUGUAUGAAAGGAUUGAAAAUGUCUCUUAAACCAUGUACACAUUGCUUGGCUGGAAAGCAACAUAGAGCUUCAUUUCAAUAUAAGGCCCCACAUAGAAAACCACAUGUUUUAGAUUUGGUACAUUAUGAUGUUUGUGGUCCAAUGACCACUAGUACUCUUGGAGGUGCAAGGUAUUUUCUUACCUUUAUUGAUGACCACUCCAGAAAGGUAUGGAUGUAUGCCCUCAAAACAAAAGAUCGGGUGUUUGUAGUAUUCAAACAGUUUCAUGCUAGUGUCGACGAGAAACUGACAAGAAGUUAAAAUGUGUUCGCACUGACAAUGGAGGAGAAUUUAUUGGAGAUUUCAAACGUUACUGUAUGAGUAAUGGAAUCCAGCAUGAAAUAUUUGUUCCGAAGACACCUCAACACAAUGGAGUAGCUGAGAGAAUGAACAAAACUAUUGUUGAAAGAGUGAGAACAAUUUUAUCUCAUACCAAAUUACCAAAGAGUUUUUGGGGUGAGGCUCUAAUGACUGCAAUUGAUUUAAUCAACUUAUCCCCUUCAGCUCCAUUGAAUGGUGAUGUUCCAAAUAGAUUUUGGACAGGUAAAGAUGUAUCCUACAAUCACUUAAAGGUGUUCGGUUGUAUAACGUUUAUUCAUGUUCCAAAAGAAGAGAGAUCAAAACUCGACUCAAAGUCGAAGGAGUGCAUAUUCUUGGGAUAUGGAAAUGAAGAAUCCAGGUAUAGGUUAUGGGAUCCUGUAGAGAAGAAGAUUAUUAGAAGCUGAGAUGUUGUCUUCUUUGAAGACCAAAAUACUGAAGAUAUUUAGAAGGGAGUUAAGCCUGUUAUUUCUAGAGAACAUCCAAUCAACUUGGAUCCAAUGCCUCCUUUAGAGCAUUACGGGGGAGAUCAAAUAGAAGAUAUUGGAGAUGUAGAAAAUGAACCUCCAAUUAAUAAUGGUUCAACUGAAGAAGUAACAGAUGGUAAUAGAAGUGUUGGUGAUAAUGAAGAUAUAAUUGAAGACUAUGAGGAUGAAGAACAAGAGCCUCAAUUAAGAAAGUCAUCCAGUGUAACAGAUGGUAAUAGAAGUGUUGGUGAUAAUGAAGAUAUAAUUGAAGACUAUGAGGAUGAAGAACAAGAGCCUCAAUUAAGAAAGUCAUCCAGAAUACCUAAACCGCAAACCAAAUAUCCUGCAACGGAAUUUGUAUUACUCACUGACGGGGGAGAACCAGAGUCUUAUGAAGAAACUUUGAUGGAUAACCACAAAGAAGAGUGGUUGAAAGUCGUGCAAGAAGAAAUUCAAUCCUUGCCUGGGAACUCGACUUAUAAGCUGGUAGGUUUAUUGAAAGGAAAAAUAGCACUAAAAAACAAAUGGGUGUACAAGUUGAAAACUGAGGAGAAUAACUCACGACCCAGAUACAAGGCAAGAUUAGUCGUAAAAGGCUUUGGUCAGAAGAAAGGAAUUGACUUUGAAGAGAUUUUUUCACCCGUAGUAAAGAUGUCAUCUAUUCGGGUAGUGUUGGGCUUGGCAGCAAGUUUAAAUCUAGAUGUAGAAAAACUGGAUGUGAAAACUGCAUUUCUUCAUGGAGAUUUAGAAGAAGAAAUUUACAUGGAGCAACCAGAGGGAUUCAAAGUCAAAGGCAAAGAAAACUUGGUAUGUCAACUGAAAACGAGUUUAUACGGACUUAAGCAGGCAUUGCGUCAAUGGUACAAGAAGUUUGAUUCCUUCAUGAUUGGUCAUGGAUACCCAAGAACUAAUUCUGGUCAUUGUGUGUUUGUGAAGAGAUUUGAUGAUGGUGAGUUCAUCAUAUUACUCUUGUAUGUUGAUGAUAUGUUGAUCGUAGGACAAAAUAGUGAGAAGAUAAGUAAGUUGAAGAAUGAAAUGAAGAAGUAAUUUUCAAUGAAAGACUUGGGACCAGCGAAACAUAUUCUUUGCAUGUCCAUCCAUCGUGAUCGGACUAAACACAAGUUGUGGAUAUCACAAGAAAAAUAUAUUAAGAAGGUGUUAGAGCAUUUUCACAUGGAAAGCGCAAAGCCAAUUGUUACUCCACUUGCUAGUCACUUUUGUCUUAGUUCAAAGCAUAGUCCGACAACUGACAUUGAAAAUCAAGAGAUGAACAAGGUGACAUAUGCCUUAGCUAUUGGAGGCUUGAUGUAUGCAAUGGUAUGUACACGAGCAGAUAUAACACACGCGGUUGGUGUUGUCAGUAUAUUCUUGGCAAAUCCAGGAAAGGAGCAUUGGAAUGCUAUGAAGUGGAUCUUGCGAUAUCUCAUAGGAAUUUCCAAAAUGAGUUUGUGCUUUGGAAGUAGAAAACCUAAACCGGUUGGCUACACAGAUGCAGAUAUGGCGGGAGAUAUUGAUUAUAGGAAAUCAACUUAUGGAUUCUUGAUUACAUAUUCAGGGGGAGUAGUAUUCUGGCAGUUGAAGCUACAAAAGUGUAUUUGGGAGAUAUUGAUUAUAGGAAAUCAACUUAUGGAUUCUUGAUUACAUAUUCAGGGGGAGUAGUAUUCUGGCAGUUGAAGCUACAAAAGUGUAUUGCUUUGUCUACCAUAGAGGCAAAGUUCAUUGCAAUAACAGAAGCUUGCAAGGAAAUGUUAUGGAUGAAGCAGUUCUUGCAUGAAUUAGGACAAGAACAACAUAAGUAUGUCGUGCAUUGUGAUAGUCAGAGUGCAAUCCACUUAAGCAAGAAUUCAAGUUUUCACUCAAGGUCAAAACAUAUCGAUGUGAGAUAUCACUGGAUACGUGAUAUGUUGGAUUCCAAGCAACUACAGCUUGAGAAAAUUCAUAUUGAUGAUAAUUGCUCAGAUAUGAUAACUAAGUCCUUACCUAAGGAGAAGUACGAGUUCUGCAAAAGAGAUGCUGAACUAUUCGAGCCCUCCAUCAAAUCGGAAGGGGGAAAUUGAUAGGUUUCCUCUUUAGGAGGAUAGAACGAGUUUUUCUAGGAAAUUUAUGGAAAGUAAAGGAGAAAAACUCUCUUUGAAUUAUAGUCUAUAUUUACUAUCUUUCAUUUGUUAUAAAAGUCAUAUUCUAUAACAUCAAUAACAUCAUCGUAUAAACAACCUUUUGAGAAGAAAAAUCCAAAAGAGUUUAGCCACCAUUUAUUGAAAAAUCCAAAAGAGUUUAGCCACCACUUAUUUUUGGUGAGAUUGUAAUAACAUCUGGAUUCUCAUUUAUUUUUACAAAAUUAUUAUUGUUACUCCAUUGUUACUAUUAUUAUUAUAGUGGAAAAAUUACGAUCUUGGGAUAAUCAUCCGCUGGCCUUGUAUUAGGAAUUUUAAGUGUUAUCUUUUCCAACACACACAUAUUAACAAAUAUGUGAAUAUUUUAUCAUAUUCUUGAUAUUUAUUUUAAUUUACAUAUUAACAAAAAAAUAUUAUUUAUUUAUAAAUGAUAUUGUUUUUAUUUGAAAUAAUAUAUUUAUAUUUAUAUUUUUAAUUUCAUUUUUUAUUUAUCGACAUUAAUAAAGAUAAGAUUAAAAUAAAUAUUGAUAGUUACAUGCACGCACUUGCAAUAUAUUAUUUUAAAUUUAUUUGAGAAUCCAAUUUCAUAUAUAUUAUUCUUUAGACAUAAGAUAAAAUUGUAAGAUACAAUUCAUAUUUAUGCAUUAAAAUAUACAUUUAUUUUGAUAAUUAUAAAUUUAUUUUAUAGUAAUGUAUGAAUAUAUAAUUAUAAAAUUAUAUUUGUAUGCUUCAAUGAAAAUUUUGUAAAAAGUUGAAAUCGCAUUGGUUUGAUUCAGUUUUAUUUUUAAAAUUCAAUUGAAUUAAAUUGAACCGCGUAAUUUUUUCUCUUACGUUUUGGAUGAUUUUUAAUAUCAAAAUUACUCAAAUCGUACUGCGAACACCCCUAAUUAUCAAUGUUACGUAAUGUUGAGUUGAAACGAUCUAAUAUGUCAACAAUUUCAUCGAUAAAGUCCUUUCUUCUUUCUUUCUUUGGCUGUGCCAUGUUCAGGUUUAUAACACUCAAGACAAAGGAGACUUGGAGAUUAAGUGCCAUGUUCAGGUUUAUAACACUCAAGACAAAGGAGACUUGGAGAUUAAGGUUCUUCAAGCAAGUUUUUGGGGGAAUUUUCUAUAGAUUCACCUCUAAUUUCUAUUUCUUGAAGAUAGGUAAGAAGUUCUCUUCACUUUUUUGAAUCUUUAGUCUUAUUUUAUCCAUCCCAAAACUUUUUAAGUUACUUGAAGGAUUCAAAUGGAAUACGUGAUAAUUGAUUUGUUACUAAGAUCUUUGUUUGAUUUUUUUAGUUACGCCAUAAAAAUAUCGAUUAAAUUCAAAUUUAAUAAAUUAUAUAAAAUUUCAUAUAAGUUUAUCAAAUUAUUUUUUCAUCUCUUAUGCUAAAUCUUUACUUCAUCUUUCUCAUAAACAUUAAUUAAUUAAUAUGUGAUCAAUUUAAUAAAAAUUAAAGGUUGAAUAAUGAGAUUAAUUCAAUAAAGUAAUUGUAUUUUGACAUAACUAUGUAUCUCAUAGUAAUUCUAUUUUGACACAACUAUGUAUUUCUUUUUCAUCUUAUUUUAAAAGGUAAUUUAAUCAUUGUAAUUUGGAUCUUAGAGUUAGCGUCCACCUCCCUCUCUCUGUCUCUCUCCCUCUCUCUCUCCAAAUGAAUCGAUUAAUUCACAAUCCACGCCCUCCCAUGAUUGACACAUGUCACUUAUUUUACAACGUAACCCUCCUUCAAAUUUUAUAUCACUUAUAUCUCCCCCUCUCACACACACAUAACAAAAAUCUUUAUCUUCACAUUUUCUAUUCUUCUUUUUCAUAUCCUUCAACAUUUCUUGAAGCAAGUUGCAUCUUCAUCUUCAUCAUCAGGUUCUUCAUCAACUUCAACAUUUCUUGAAGCAGGUUGUAUCUUCAUCUUCAUCAUCAGGUUCUUCAUCAAUUUCAAUAUUUCUUGAAGCAAGUUGCAUCUUCAUCUUCAUCAUCAGGUUCUUCAUCAGCUUCAACUAUCAUCUUCUUCAUAAACAUCAUUUUCAUUUUCGGUUUAUUUACAUUCAACUUAUUUCAUUAUUGAUUGUUCUUCCAUGUUUGCAAUUGACUUUUUUUCUACAAUGAUCUUUCUCCAUCAAGGUAUGUUAUUUUCGUUUCCUUUUCCUUUAGAAACUUUCAUUAUUUGUUUAUAUUAAUAAUGCAUUUUAUGGUUCUAAACUGCAUUAUCAGUUUGUUUACCUUCAAUCUCAUUUCAUUAUUAAUUGUUCUUCUAUUUUUGGAGUUGACUUUGGUUAUACAUUGAUCUUUCUCCAUCAAGGUAUGUUAUUUUUGUUUUAUUUUCCUUUCACAACUUUCAUUAUUGAUUCCUAAAACUUAGCAUUUUCUGUUUUCAUUUUCAUCAUCAACAUCAACUAUUAACUCCUAUAUUUAUUGUUUCCUUUUGUUUUAAAAUAUUUCAUCUUUGUUACUUUUGAGAUUUAUGUCCUUUCCUAAUUGUUAUUGGUGGUAAGUAUUUCCUUUUUUUCAUCCUUACUUAACAGAGCCAGAAAGAGAGAAAAACUUGUUUAUAUGGCAAGUGUUGUUCUUCAGGAUUGAACUCUUUCAAUCCUUUAUGUGAUGUCUUUUUCUAUUUAUCUGUGCCAAUGCUUGAUAAAAUAUUAUUUGUAUUCCUUCAAUAUUUUUAUUUUCUUCAUCUAAAUGCUUUAAACAUUAAAUGUCUCAAAUACUGCUGACUAUUCUGAUUUUUGAUUUUUAAGGUUUGAAUAGAAAUAUUUGUAUCCCUUCAUUUGUUUAUUGUCUUUAUUUCUAAUAAGUAUUUUUUUAAUUAGAUGUCAAGACCACCUACUUUAAUUAAAGUUUUGCAGAAGGACAACAACAUAGGAAAAAUGGCACAUAAUAGUUUAUUUAUAGACAAUCACAUAGCGUGGUGGACAGACUUACAACAAACAUCCAAAGUUUAAACAUGACUAUUAUGUAAUCUGAUGGGUCUCAUAUUAUCAAUCAAAGGAUUUAGAAGAAAUAUAGGCAAUUGUAAUUGUAUUAAUGAGAAAUAGCACAAUUACAAGAACAAAUUGGUAGCAACUUGCCAAUCCCCAAAGCAUUAAGGUUUCCACAAUUCACGUUUCAAUGAAAUGCUCUGCUAACCGAAUUCUUAGCGCCCCCCCCCCCUAACACUUGCAGGUCUGAGUGUCUUGGGAUUGUGAUUCCCUCCCGUUUACAUUUCACACGGGACUCACAUUUUUAAUCUCAAAACCCUUUUACUUUUUGAAGGUACAAAUUUCACUGGAACUCUGGUGUCUCAUGACUCGUGAGAGAGUCAUUUUUCGGGUGCUUAGACAUUGAUUAUGGGUGCCAAGCCGCUGAAGUUGUAAACUUAGAUUCUUGAACUCAAAAGUGCACAGGCAUAGAAAAUCUAGUGUGAAGCACUGAAGACUUAGAAGCAAAUUCAUCUUUUCUCCGGGCUUCUGCUAACCUAACAAAAGUCUGGUUUUGAUCUUUAAGCUCAAAUUUUGCACACUUUCCUGCCACACUCACAGGAGAAAAUACGGAACUAAAUGANNNNNNNNNNNNNNNNNNNNNNNNNNNNNNNNNNNNNNNNNNNNNNNNNNNNNNNNNNNNNNNNNNNNNNNNNNNNNNNNNNNNNNNNNNNNNNNNNNNNNNNNNNNNNNNNNNNNNNNNNNNNNNNNNNNNNNNNNNNNNNNNNNNNNNNNNNNNNNNNNNNNNNNNNNNNNNNNNNNNNNNNNNNNNNNNNNNNNNNNNNNNNNNNNNNNNNNNNNNNNNNNNNNNNNNNNNNNNNNNNNNNNNNNNNNNNNNNNNNNNNNNNNNNNNNNNNNNNNNNNNNNNNNNNNUGAUUUAUGCUUGUAUGAUUGAUGCAUAUGGAAGAAAUGGGUGUUGGAAGGAAGCUAUCGAGCUCUUUUAGAGUAUGAGAGGAGGAUGGGUGAGGUGUUGCCGAAUUCUGUGACUUUUUUUAUCGUAUCAGCUUGUGAUCAAUUUGGGAUGGUGGAGGAAGGAAAAAAUGUUUCAAUGAUGAUGAGAGAGAUUGCAUUGACCAGAACGGAACACUAUGCAUGCUUCAUAGAUGUCUUAGGCCGAGCCGGUAAUAUAGAAGAAGUAUUGGUCUUUUAUCAAAAAUGAUUCAGCGCGGUACUAAACCAUUGCAGGAGUAUGGGAUACGUUGUUGAAUGCUUGAUCUCAGUCAAGAUUUUGAAGAGGCGAGUUUGCGCAAAGCUCUUUUUUGUUGGAUCCCGACAAAGCUAGCAAUAUUGUGCUGUAUCAAACUUUUAUGCAGCCUUGGUAGGUGGGAUGUUGUGAUGAUUGAGAAGCAUAAUGGGACAAAAGGGUUGUCAAGAAGCUGGGAAUAGCUGGAUCGGUGAGGGCUUCAAUGGACAUCAUAGGUCACUAUCUAUUGAUUGUUCAGCUAUACACCUAGCAAGUGAGACCUCACUCUGUUGGCGUGAUUGUUUCUAGUGAGAGUCAACCUGGAACUGGUUACAUGAAAGAA
rnacentral:lncRNA from 1 species